AACGUAGGAGACAACCGUUAUCCGGAGUUACUGGGCGUAAAGGGCGUGUAGGUGGUUUCGUAAGUCUGGCGUGAAAUAUCUCGGCUUAACCGAGGCAGGUCGUCGGAUACUGCGGGACUAGAGGACGGUAGAGGCGUGUGGAAUUCCGGGUGUAGUGGUGAAAUGCGUAGAGAUCCGGAGGAACACCAGUGGCGAAGGCGACACGCUGGGCCGUACCUGACACUGAUGCGCGACAGCAUGGGGAGCAAACAGG
rnacentral:rRNA from 1 species